ACGGCUAUGGUGAAAUUGGUAAACGCACCACACUUAGGAUGUGGCGGUCUUUGACUUUGUGGGUUCAAAUCCCUCUAGCCGUA
rnacentral:tRNA from 1 species